rnacentral:lncRNA from 1 species
GCCGGCCUCUCCUCUAAUCCUCCUUCGCUCUCCAUCUCGCUACUAUCUAGAUCUACUCUAGUUUAGAGAAGAGAGGAGAGCUCUCAUCUCUAAACCCUAGCUUUUGCUCUGUCUAUGAAUAAUGAAUAAUGAUCAAGGGGUUGUCUCCUCCAGGGGCCAGGGGGUCUGGUUUUAUAGUCCCCUCAAGUGAACCUGGGCCGUCGGAUCAAACCGACAUUGAUUGAACGGUUAUUCUUGAUCCUUUAGGUCGGUGGAGCAUAAUCCGCGAGAUUGAGCGUGAUUGGCCACAGGAGGUGGGCGGGCGCCCAGUAGGACAGGGCGGGCACCCUGCCUGUGGCCCCGAUUCGCCUCCGCUUCGGUCUCGUGGCUUCUGGAGUCUUCUAGAUGUAAGAUAAUUGCGCGGCACGUUAAUAUCUUUACGUAAUCCCGACGUGUGGGCCUUUCUUCCUUAUUUCCUGAUAACCCCCUGCAGAAAUAGACAAACACCAAAACUCGUGGAAUUCUGUCAGAUAAAACCCUAAGUCUAGAUGUUGAUUUCAUUUGGAUCCAUUUCUUUGUUUAUUUGAUAAUUAAAUUUGAUACUUAAGGACCGUCAACAAACUCCCCCAAGCUUACCUCUUGCUCGUCCCUGAGCAAGGAUAGACUCAGCUAUAGAUCAUAAGUUGUUGCAAUAUCUUUAAAAAUUGACGGUACACAUGCUUUUAAAUGAGGUCUCAUCUCUGAGUUAGAGUAAACUGUCAAGACUUAAAACUUACUUACUUUACCUUUCACCAUGGGACUUGUAACCGUCACUUCUGUCUUGAGUGGUUAAAAGAUAGAACAGUCCAGUCAAGUGCCAUGUCGCUUAUUCUUGAUCAGCUAUAGCUCUGGAGUUUUUGCAGAUUUUCAAAUAAAACUCAGAGAUUCCUUUGUAUGACUCUCUCAUAUCUCUCUUUUGUGGUAUUUCUGGAUCCUUACCAAUGCAGUGAUGGUAUAUGCCUUCUCUCAAAACAUGUGGUAUUUGUGGUAUAAGGCAUAGUGACAUUGCCUUCUCUCUCACCCUACUCUAAUAAGGCUUUAAUAUCUGGAGCUCAUAGGUGGGAGAUAAAGUAUACAUACUUACAAGACAUGUAUUGCAUAGUCAAACCAUGGAUCCAAAGAAAUAAAUCAAUAAGCCAAAUCAAGAUGUGCAUGUGUGGCGAAUGAAUAGUGUAUGGUGAUGAUGGUGAUAACAAUGGUGAAAGUCUAAUUCUACUUUUGCUCUUUUAAGGGGAUACAUACCUUCCUUGCUUUUUGAAACUUUAUGAGGAGAAUGAGAUGCUCUUCUUUUUCUUUUCUCUCAGAUGGGUAUCCUGUACCCCUAAUUCUACUGUCAGACACUUGUCCAUUUUUACCUCUCGUCUCACUCUUUUUCUUUUCUUUCGAGGUUCCGGGCACUUGCCCCUUUUUAUUUCCUCGUUUAUUUUUUUUCUUUUCUUUUUUUUCUUCUUUUUUUUCAGAGCACUCAUCUCUUGAGAUAAUAUAGCAAGUGGUAGUAGCAAGAUAACUUGAGCAUUUAUUUCACAAGGGAAAAACACAGAUGUUUUUGGCUAUUCUCUCCCGAAUUAGGAGUAGAAUAUUUUUAGGUGAUUCUGGAGAUGGAAAUGGAUGGAUAUAUAUGGAUGGUACUUCCGGAGUAGAAGUAGCAUAUAUAUGAGUGAACGUGCAAGUGAAUCUUGAUUUAACCACAUGACAAGCUCCUAAGGGUCUACACAGCUUGACCACACUCAAUGCUCAUAAGCAGUAAAUAAUAAAUGUGUGGCUCAAAGUCUAGCAAGCAUGUAUAUAUGGCUGUGGUAGGAAUUUAAACUUUCAUCAUACAGGAACUCAUCAUGCAACAUUUUAAAGAUUUUUCAAAGAUAAAAUUCUCCAGAAUUCUAGCAUCUCUAGGAACAGAUAAACAGCAGCUCAACCUUCCCAUAUCUUAUCCGUUAACAACUUAGAUUUUAGAUCAAGUUUUCAUCCCACAAGUUUAGAUCUAGAGCAAGCUUUAAAUUAUAACAGUUAUGUCUAAACUUGAGAGAGAACUUCAAAUUUGCAAAUUAGGCAGAGCAACUAUUCAUCAUAUCCAUGCUAGAGUUUUAUUAUUAAGAUUCAUAGCAAACUUUAUUUAUUUAUUUAUUUAUUUAUUUAGCAAACUAAGAAAAGUAUAUAUAUAUAAGCAUAAAAUCUUUAUUUGGUUUUUCAUAGUUUAUGUAUUUUAAUAUUCUAAUAUAAUAUAAGUAUAAAGAUAGGUAGAAAUACUUAGCGAGAUAAAUAGGGGUGCUCUCCCUCAAGCUGAAUUUUGACGUAAUUUCUCUUGAUGUAGCUAGCAGGUGGCAGAGGUGUAUUUGAAAGUCAGCAGCAUUCUGACAGCAAUUAGAAUAUCCUCUAUCUUUCGGCGAGGGUUCAAUGUUUUAAGUCUUCUUAACAAGACUUCUCACCGUGUUCAUUCUUCAGGUGCGUCAUUUGAUUCAGGUGCGGACCUUGACGUCUGCACCUCUUGAUACGGUGUCGCCCAUAUUCUUCGUUUGCCCAGCAGUUCGAAGUGCGGUGUUAGCAGUAUCUUGCUCAAUGUGUUUGUGCUCGUAGUGUACCUGCUCAUAGAGACAAGGCAGAGAUCAAGUGAACCAAAAGUGUAUUUGUUCUUCUCUAACCUUAAGCAUAGUGAGCAAGACAAGUUGAUGGAUGAUAAGUUCAUGAGUGUAGCACUUAUAACAUUUGUCAGAUCAGAUCGCUCAACCUUAUGGAAAGAUAAUCUAUCUAUGUAUAUGUCUUUUUAUUUAUAUCUCUCAAUGAUUGAAUGUGUAACAUUUUAGCUCAUAUGAUUAGGAGUGUGGGAUCAUGGAGGUAGUACUAAGAACAAGGAUUAAAGGACUAAACAUGUUGAAUCAGUUGGGUUGGUUAAUCUAGAGUUGUAAAUCAUACACGUUUGUCUCUUUUAUUUAUAUGAACGCCAGAACCAAGGAGAAGCUUAUAAAAGUGAUAGUCAAGUACCUUAGGAUGUUACCUUGCUUGAAAAGUGAUGGUACAGUAUCACCUUGUGGAAGCUUUCCUUUCUUAGCGGUUGUGCAUCGUGUUCGUGGCACCCUCCAUGGAUCUUCACUUUAUGAUGAAUGAGCUAUGUCCUUCUUGUGCUAAUUGUUAAACUUCAUGUGUCACUUUCUUCGUCUCUGAUGUGAGUUUAUCUCAGGACUUCCCAAAUCGAUAUUGAAAGUUUUUCUGCAGGGGUUAGUCCAACAAAAUAUACCAAUAUCUACUCAAGCAGUUUUUAGUUCAAUAACCAAACUAGACUCCUUGUCUAAUCAGAUUAAGGAAGGCUAUUUAACCUAAGCACCAUGCUUAAUUUAAAUGCCAAUGGAAGUAUGGCGAGUACUUCCAAACCAACACUUGCUAGUAAAUAGACAACGGUAGCAUGACAGCGUUUAUAGAGAUCUACUCAAGUGGAGAUGAAGUAGUGUGAUUAGUAUUUAACAAAUUGAGCAUGUCUCAAAGGUAGGGACAACCAGCAUAGCAACAUGGCAAAGGAUGUUUUUAUGUAAAGUACUCCCCCAAGCUUGAAUUUUGCAAAAAUUCAAGUUUGGAUGAAUUUAAUUCAAUGUUGUAUGAUGAUUGGUUGGACAUACCUUGUGCUUGUCAUUCAUCCGAUCUUCUUGCUCCAAUCUUAGAAAGGUUAGUGACAAGAAUACCCGAAGGAAUAUAUUUUUUUUACAAUUAUCCUUAUAUGCUCAAUACACAAGGUAAUGUUGCAAAUAAUUAAAGGCUCAUGUUACGAUCUGAUCAAUGCUUAUUUUAAGACACUAAGCUUGUCCUUGGGAAACCAUCAGUUUAUGUUGGCGAAGUGGUUUCCCCUCCGACGCCAACCUAUAUCUAGAUCAACUCAACGAGAUCUGCAAUAUUUAUUAUAGACAUAUGCAUCGACAACCGCCCUUUUAAAGUUUUUAUAAAUAGAAAGGAAGAGGGGGUUGGAGAUCUCAAGUGUGGUGAUGUCGGAGAGACCAAUAGAUUGGGAAGAUGUUGCAUAUGAGCAUGGAGUAAACGAAGUGGCUAUGAAAUAAAUUCCAUGCUCAUUAAUGUUAUCUUCGUCUCUAAUCUGAAUGUUCGGAGUUUCUCCUGGAUUGGUCUCACCUAUGUCCUGUUCUGUAGUUGGAUGAAUCUCAUCUUCAAAGGGAGUCAAGAACUCACCAUUUGAAAUUGAGCCAAAGUCAGAACCUAUUAAGGCUUCUUUCUUAUCCAUCCAUUCUACACAUUCUAGCCAUUUAGAACUUGUGAUCAAAAUAGGGGAGGUGUUAGAAUUUUCUAUAUGGCUUAGCUCUCCUUCUAUGGCAUUACUUGACAUGCCAUCCUUAUGGUCUUCAUGACUCCUAUGGUUUGGUCGUCUUGGUGAAUUGCUAGGAUCAUCAUGAGAGUGAAAAGAAGAGGGAUAAGAGGGAUCUCUAAGGUCAAGGAUGGAUUUAGAACUUGUGAACAUGGAAGGGGAGUAGAUAGAAUUGUCUAUAUGGCUUAGCUCUCCUUCACUUGAUAUGUCAUCCUCGACUUCUUCAUGAUAGGAACCAGGACAUUCUCUAAGAGAAACAUUAUUGCAAUGAUUUGAAUUAUCCCUGCUUGAAGGUCUCUUAUAGAACUAGAAGUCUAAACCAUCAGCAUUUAAAAGAUUUAAGGUCGGAAUUCCUUCCUCCCUUGGAGAAUUUUGGGGUAUUGAUGGUUUAGAAUCGAUAGCUAAAGUUUGGGAUUGAAGUGGUUGUGAUCUGGCUAUCAAAACUUCUUCUUCUUGUCUAGGAACUGGUUCUUUCUCUUUCUCAGGGAUAUAAAAGCUAGGAGACUUUCCGCUCAUUAAAUCAAUCAAAUUCCAAGCUUCACUAGCGGAUAUGUGGUGGAAAGAUCCUCCAGAGGCCGCAUGAAGGGUUUGCCUAUUUUUCCUACUAAGGCCCUCAAAAAAGUGAAUUAGAAGAACUUCUUCUGGAAUAGAAAGUUUUGGGCCAGUGAGAGUAAGGUUAAUAAAGCGGUCCCAUGAUUUGCCAAGAGAUUCUUCUUCCAGUUGUCUAAAAGAAAGAAUCUCACGCCGAAGUUCCACCACUUUGGAGAUUGGAAAAUAUUUAGAUAGAAAACUACUAUAUAACUCCUUCCAAUCUCCAUGAACACUCCCUACUUUAAGUUUAUACCAAUGUCUAGCUUUUCCCGUUAAAGAGAACGGAAAGAGCUUCCAUUUAAGGGUCUCAUCGGACAUGCCUUCUAUGCGAAGGAGGUCACAGACUCGAUAAAACUCUCUAAGGUGUGUGUAUGGGUUUUCCUCACCUUCUCCUGAGAAAGGUUGUUUUUGAAUAAAUUCUAUGUAUUCGGGGUCUAUCUCAAAACUAGAUGCUAUGAUAGGCUUUGAAGAUUUUGGUGGUUCGAGAUGUGUGCCCAUAGGUCUAUGAAAUUCAUAGAUAGACAUGUUUGAAUUCAUGAUAGACCAGAGAUCAAGGAUUAGAUAAGAAGAAAGAUUAGCAGAGAUGAGGCAAAGGAUAAAAGGAAAAUAUUUUUUUUAUUAUUUUUUUUAAAAAAAUGAUUAAGCUAGUUCGUAGUCAACUCAGCAACCGUUUCCCCGGCAACGGUGCCAAAAAUGCUUGUUGACACUUGCUAACACCACUUGAAUACUAGGUUGUCAUCCCCAGCAUGGCACUAGAGUGUACUAUGGUAUUUAUACGCACACAGAUAAUCCGCAAGCGCACGGAUACCGUUGAAGCUUUUACCCGGUUAAAGGUUUUAUCGUAUCCACAGGGAAACGGGAGAACCAACUACGCUCUAACUUAACCAAGAUAGAUAGAUAGGUGUAAAUAGGAAAGAUGAUAGAAUCGAAUAAGAACAAUAUUAAAGGUAAGAUAACAGUGAGUGAUAAUAUGGGAAUAGAGAAUAGAGCAAUUCUAGUAUAUGGGCGAUGGUAGCAGAAUAGAGAGGAUAACUAUGGUUUCUCUACUUCAAAGGGGUAUGUCUAUGUCUGGGACGAACCACGUGAUAAGAGUACACCACAAAGGAUGCUUAUCCAUAGGCCGAUAAACCCUACCCGUCCUGCUAACGAGAGGUGGACUACAGGGGACCAACGUAACUGUCACCUACGCGGCCUACCACAUGAUCUAGCUAGUCGGGGGAUAUCCACAAGUAAUCUAGGUCUAAGCACCACGCUUACACCUAUACUACAACUCUAACCUAUAGGGUCCUAUAGAUUAGAAGUACUCAAAAGAGUUGUGAACCAGAACAUACAUGAUUAGUAAUUGCAUAAUGAAUUAGAAGUAGAUUACCAGAGUCAUCCCAUGAGCAAGCUUGAUUAGAGCUUGAUCAUGGCGAAGUACAACCGGAGGAAGAACAGACAGGCCGGCCUCUCCUCUAAUCCUCCUUCGCUCUCCACCUCGCUACUAUCUAGAUCUACUCUAGUUUAGAGAAGAGAGGAGAGCUCUCAUCUCUAAACCCUAGCUUUUGCUCUGUCUAUGAAUAAUGAAUAAUGAUCAAGGGGUUGUCUCCUCCAGGGGCCAGGGGGUCUGGUUUUAUAGUCCCCUCAAGUGAACCUGGGCCGUCGGAUCAAACCGACAUUGAUUGAACGGUUAUUCUUGAUCCUUUAGGUCGGUGGAGCAUAAUCCGCGAGAUUGAGCGUGAUUGGCCACAGGAGGUGGGCGGGCACCCAGUAGGACAGGGCGGGCACCCUGUCUCUGGCCCCGAUUCGCCUCCGCUUCGGUCUCGUGGCUUCUGGAGUCUUCUAGAUGUAAGAUAAUUGCGCGGCACGUUAAUAUCUUUACGUAAUCCCGACGUGUGGGCCUUUCUUCCUUAUUUCCUGAUAACCCCCUGCAGAAAUAGACAAACACCAAAACUCGUAGAAUUCUGUCAAAUAAAACCCUAAGUCUAGAUGUUGAUUUCAUUUGGAUCCUUUUCUUUGUUUAUUUGAUAAUUAAAUUUGAUACUUAAGGACCGUCAACAAACUCCCCCAAGCUUACCUCUUGCUCGUCCCUGAGCAAGGAUAGACUCAGCUAUAGAUCAUAAGUUGUUGCAAUAUCUUUAAUAAUUGACGGUACACAUGCUUUUACAUGAGGUCUCAUCUCUGAGUUAGAGUAAACUGUCAAGACUUAAAACUUACUUACUUUACCUUUCACCAUGGGACUUGUAACCGUCACUUCUGUCUUGAGUGGUUAAAAGCUAGAACAGUCCAGUCAAGUGCCAUGUCGCUUAUUCUUGAUCAGCUAUAGCUCUGGAGUUUUUGCAGAUUUUCAAAUAAAACUCAGAGAUUCCUUUGUAUGACUCUCUCAUAUCUCUCUUUUGUGGUAUUUCUGGAUCCUUACCAAGGCAGUGAUGGUAUAUGCCUUCUCUCAAAACAUGUGGUAUUUGUGGUAUAAGGCAUAGUGACAUUGCCUUCUCUCUCACCCUACUCUAAUAAGGCUUUAAUAUCUGGAGCUCAUAGGUGGGAGAUAAAGUAUACAUACUUACAAGACAUGUAUUGCAUAGUCAAACCAUGGAUCCAAAGAAACAAAUCAAUAAGCCAAAUCAAGAUGUGCAUGUGUGGCGAAUGAAUAGUGUAUGGUGAUGAUGGUGAUAACAAUGGUGAAAGUCUAAUUCUACUUUUGCUCUUUUGAGGGGAUACAUACCUUCCUUGCUUUUUGAAACUUUAUGAGAAGAAUGAGAUGCUAUUCUUUUUCUUUUCUCUCACAUGGGUAUCCUGUACCCCUAAUUCUACUGUCGGACACUUGUCCAUUUUUACCUCUCGUCUCACUCUUUUUCUUUUCUUUCGAGGUUCCGGGCACUUGCCCCUUUUUAUUUCCUCGUUUAUUUUUUUUUUCUUUUCUUUUUUUCUUCUUCUUUUUUUUCAGAGCACUCAUCUCUUGAGAUAAUAUAGCAAGUGGUAGUAGCAAGAUAACUUGAGCAUUUAUUUCACAAGGGAAAAACACAGAUGUUUUUGGCUAUUCUCUCCCGAAUUAGGAGUACAAUAUUUUUAGGUGAUUCUGGAGAUGGAAAUGGAUGGAUAUAUAUGGAUGGUACUUUCGGAGUAGAAGUAGCAUAUAUAUGAGUGAACGUGCAAGUGAAUCUUGAUUUAACCACAUGACAAGCUCCUAAGGGUCUACACAGCUUGACCACACUCAAUGCUCAUAAGCAGUAAAUAAUAAAUGUGUGGCUCAAAGUCUAGCAAGCAUGUAUAUAUGGCUGUGGUAGGAAUUUAAACUUUCAUCAUACAGGAACUCAUCAUGCAACAUUUUAAAGAUUUUUCAAAGAUAAAAUUCUCCAGAAUUCUAGCAUCUCUAGGAACAGAUAAACAGCAGCUCAACCUUCCCAUAUCUUAUCCGUUAACAACUUAGAUUUUAGAUCAAGUUUUCAUCCCACAAGUUUAGAUCUAGAGCAAGCUUUAAAUUAUAACAUCUAUGUCUAAACUUGAGAGAGAACUUCAAAUUUGCAAAUUAGGCAGAGCAACUAUUCAUCAUAUCCAUGCUAGAGUUUUAUUAUUAAGAUUCAUAGCAAACUUUAUUUAUUUAUUUAUUUAUUUAGCAAACUAAGAAAAGUAUAUAUAUAUAAGCAUAAAAUCUUUAUUUGGUUUUUCAUAGUUUAUGUAUUUUAAUAUUCUAAUAUAAUAUAAGUAUAAAGGUAGGUAUAAAUACUUAGCGAGAUAAAUAGGGGUGCUCUCCCUCAAGCUGAAUUUUGACGUAAUUUCUCUUGAUGUAGCUAGCAGGUGGCAGAGGGGUAUUUGAAAGUCAGCAGCAUUCUGACAGCAAUUAGAAUAUCCUCUAUCUUUCGGCGAGGGUUCAAUGUUUUAAGUCUUCUUAACAAGACUUCUCACCGUGUUCAUUCUUCAGGUGCGUCAUUUGAUUCAGGUGCGGACCUUGACGUCUGCACCUCUUGAUACGGUGUCACCCAUAUUCUUCGUUUGCCCAGCAGUUCGAAGUGCGGUGUUAGCAGUAUCUUGCUCAAUGUGUUUGUGCCCGUAGUGUACCUGCUCAUAGAGACAAGGCAGAGAUCAAGUGAACCAAAAGUGUAUUUGUUCUUCUCUAACCUUAAGCAUAGUGAGCAAGACAAGUUGAUGGAUGAUAAGUUCAUGAGUGUAGCACUUAUAACAUUUGUCAGAUCAGAUCGCUCAACCUUAUGGAAAGAUAAUAUAUCUAUGUAUAGGUCUUUUUAUUUAUAUCUCUCAAUGAUUGAAUGUGUAACAUUUUAGCUCAUAUGAUUAGGAGUGUGGGAUCAUGGAGGUAGUACUAAGAACAAGGAUUAAAGGACUAAACAUGUUGAAUCAGUUGGGUUGGUUAAUCUAGAGUUGUAAAUCAUACACGUUUGUCUCUUUUAUUUAUAUGAACGCCAGAACCAAGGAGAAGCUUAUAAAAGUGAUAGUCAAGUACCUUAGGAUGUUACCUUGCUUGAAAAGUGAUGGUACAGUAUCACCUUGUGGAAGCUUUCCUUUCUUAGCGGUUGUGCAUCGUGUUCGUGGCACCCUCCAUGGAUCUUCACUUUAUGAUGAAUGAGCUAUGUCCUUCUUGUGCUAAUUGUUAAACUUCAUGUGUCACUUUCUUCGUCUCUGAUGUGAGUUUAUCUCAGGACUUCCCAAAUCGAUAUUGAAAGUUUUUCUGCAGGGGUUAGUCCGACAAAAUAUACCAAUAUCUACUCAAGCAGUUUUUAGUUCAAUAACCAAACUAGACUCCAUGUCUAAUCAGAUUAAGGAAGGCUAUUUAACCUAAGCACCAUGCUUUAUUUAAAUGCCAAUGGAAGUAUGGCGAGUACUUCCAAACCAACACUUGCUAGUAAAUAGACAACGGUAGCAUGACAGCGUUUAUAGAGAUCUACUCAAGUGGAGAUGAAGUAGUGUGAUUAGUAUUUAACAAAUUGAGCAUGUCUCAAAGGUAGGGACAACCAGCAUAGCAACAUGGCAAAGGAUGUUUUUAUGUAAAGUACUCCCCCAAGCUUGAAUUUUGCAAAAAUUCAAGUUUGGAUGAAUUUAAUUCAAUGUUGUAUGAUGAUUGGUUGGACAUACCUUGUGCUUGUCAUUCAUCCGAUCUUCUUGCUCCAAUCUUAGAAAGGUUAGUGACAAGAAUACCCGAAGGAAUAUAUUUUUUUUUACAAUUAUCCUUAUAUGCUCAAUACACAAGGUAAUGUUGCAAAUAAUUAAAGGCUCAUGUUACGAUCUGAUCAAUGCUUAUUUUAAGACACUAAGCUUGUCCUUGGGAAACCAUCAGUUUAUGUUGGCGAAGUGGUUUCCCCUCCGACGCCAACCUAUAUCUAGAUCAACUCAACGUGAUCUGCAAUAUUUAUUAUAGACAUAUGCAUCGACAACCGCCCUUUUAAAGUUUUUAUAAAUUGAAAGGAAGAGGGGGUUGGAGAUCUCAAGUGUGGUGAUGUCGGAGAGACCAAUAGAUUGGGAAGAUGUUGCAU